ensembl:lncRNA
GAAUCAAGUCCCUCCAUGAAGCCCCUUAAAGGACACCUAAUCCUAUAUACAAGGAUAGAUCCCUCAUGGCCUCAUGCAUUGACUUUACCCUCUGGUUUGUUAUCCUCCAUUCAUUCUUGUAGCUAUCUAGUAACCUAGCCAACUGUUUCAGGGUAUAGAUGUAGCAGCAGAAUCUGCUGUCUUCUAAAUGCUUUUUUUGUGAAUGACUACUUUGAGAUGUCAAAGAUUUUAAAAACAUAACAAAUUUUUAAAAUGUCAUGCCUUACAGGUCCCACCUCUUAAUACUAUCGUGUUGGCAACACCUGAAUUUUGGAGGGGACACAUUGAAACCACAGUACCUUCGUAUCAGGUGCUCCCGGAUUUUGCUCUCCAGCUUCCAGUUCUCCGCCUCCAGGAUCCUCACUCUUUCCAGGUAGGAGCCCAGGCUGUCGGUCAGGCGUUGCAUGAUCUCCUUUUCGUUCUGGAUGCCUUCCAUUCCUGCCAGACCCCGGCCAUCCCCUCGGCCAGGCCUCUGGACCCCAAGUCGCCCCAGAAGCUGUUGGAGCAGGACACGCAGAUAGGGGAAGCAGAGCCCCCGGCGCUUGCCUAGAAGCUGGCCGCGCUGGUGACCGGCCAGGCGCGGUAGCUGGGCGGCUGGACGGAGCCCAGAGACCGGUAGUUGGUGGAGAAGGUGGAGGAAUGGUGAAGCUCGUGCUGUCUGGGGAAGAAAGCGAGGGCACAGGACUCAGACUUUGCCAACUAAAAUGUAUUUUCAUAGAUCAGGGUGUAAUAGCAGGGAGUGGAAAAUAGCUCACGGGCCCAAUUUUUCUCAUCAUUCAUAAUAGAAAUUUAGAAGGUUGUAUCUGAGAUUGAUGGAAUAGCAAGCAAAGCUUUAAGUAUACUAUUUAGAUUUAUUAAAAUAAUCAAUAGAAGAAAACAUGUUUUAAUAGACCAUGGAAGAUUAGGUGGGAAGUUUGUAAGUAACUCAAGUCUUAUCUUUUAAAGUGAAAAGCUAAUGGAUACUAUUUAAAAACCAUAAUCAAGAAAUUGAUGUAAAAGCCUAUUAUUUACAUUAUGUUCAUAACCAUCAUAUAAACUAUAAUUAGAAAUGUUGGAAAAAGAUUUUCCCUGAGAGUGAGACAGGUGGGAGUGAGAUAGGUAAGAUGGAUGAAAGACUUACUGUUAAUAUAAUAGCUCUUUAAUAUUUUUCAAACCUGUUCUUGAAUGUUUCAAAUAAAGUUAAGUGCAUCUAUAUAUAGCUUGAUUCCACUGCUACAAUGAAUACAUAGACAUCUUUGUACAUCUGUACAAACAAGAUUAAUUCCUAGAACUGAAAUUGCAAUUCUUAUAGAAACUCCACAGUUACCUUUUUAAAAAGGCUUGUUUUAAUUUAGAUUUCAACCAAUAUCAUUUGAGUACUCAUAUUUCCCCAAACCCUGGCCCAAAUUAAAUAAUUUAGAUAUUUUAUUAACCUGCUUAAUAAAAAUUAUAUCUCAUUGUUGUUUUGAUGCUCAUUUUAAAUUCCUAAGGAGGCUGAAUACUUUUUUCAUAUGCAUUUUGACCAUAAAAACUCUAUGGAUGGUUUUCCUGUUAUUAUGAUUUUCCUGUUUUUCUGUUGGUUGUUGGAAUUAGUUAAAUAAAUUAUGGUACUUCUGUGUAAUAAAAAUAAUACUAUUCUAGCAUUGAGAAUGAUGGGGAAAUCAUCUGAUUAAAAUGUAAGGUUAUUA